rnacentral:rRNA from 1 species
CUACGGGAGGCUCCAGUGGGGAAUAUUGGACAAUGGGGGAAACCCUGAUCCAGCAAUGCCGCGUGUGUGAAGAAGGCCUGCGGGUUGUAAAGCACUUUCGGUUGGGAGGACUGCUUCUAGCACUAAUAUUGUUGGAAGUUGACGUUACCUUCAGAAGAAGCGCCGGCUAACUCCGUGCCAGCAGCGCGCGGUAAUACGGAGGGUGCAAGCGUUAAUCGGAAUUACUGGGCGUAAAGCGCGCGUAGGCGGCUAGAUCAGUCGGGUGUGAAAGCCCCGGGCUUAACCUGGGAACUGCAUCCGAUACUGUCUAGCUUGAGUACAGGAGAGGAGAGUGGAAUUCCACAUGUAGCGGUGAAAUGCGUAGAUAUGUGGAGGAACACCAAUGGCGAAGGCAGCUCUCUGGCCUGAUACUGACGCUGAGGUGCGAAAGCGUGGGGAGCAAACAGGAUUAGAUACCCCAGUAGUC